UCUUCUCAAAGCAAAUAGAAAUGCUCUUUAUUGUAACUCAUGGUUAAUCAUUCACAUCACCAUUCAUUUUACUUCACCUGCAUCCAGAUAUGAAAACAAAAACAACAAUAAGUUUUUAGUCAUUCAGUGAUUGGUUAUGUACAGCAGCAGGGCGGCUUUGGACAGGUAAGCCACAAUCAACAAGCCUGACAUGAGUCUAACCCCAAUCUUAUCUCAGUGUUAUCUGUGUCAGUCUGAAGCUAUCACAACCUCAGUCUGACCUCAGACUGACCAAAAUGUCUCCAGUCUAACUUUGGUCUGACCUCAUUUUGUCCUCUGUUUGACCUCAAUAUGACCUGAUAUUAACUUAUGUCUGACUUUAGUUUGACCUCAGUCUGACACAAGUUUCGCCUCAUUCUGAUCCAAGUCUGGCCUUUUAAUUAAGCCUGACUGGGGUCUCAUCUUUAACUUUAGUCUGACUACCAUGGAUCGCUAAAUUUAAAAUUUUCUGACCUAAAUCUAACCUUGUCUGACCGCAAUCUGGCUUGAGUCUGACCUUACCUUUGGACUCAGUCUGACCUCAGUUUUACCCCAGCUUGAUCUCUGUUUUGACCUUAGUCAGGAGAAGGACCUCCUCAACUCUUCCUCGUUUUGACCUUUGUCUUGCUUCAAUCAGUCAUCAGUUUGACCUCAGUUUAAUCCAAGUCUGACCUUCAACUUCAGCCUAAAUGUAGUGUUACCUCAGUUUGACCCAGUCUGACCUCUAUCAGACAUCAGUUAGACCUCAGUGUGAUCGAGGCCUGACCUUAGAUCUCAGUAUGACCCCAGUCUUACUUUUGACCUCAGUCUAGGUCUAAGUUGACAUUCAUUUGAUAUUACUCUGACCUUUGACCUCAGUUUGAUCUAAGUUAGACCUCAGUGUUAUUAAAGCCUUACUUUAGAUCUCAGACUGACCCCUGUCUUACCUUUAACCUCAGUCUAGGUCUAAAUUGACAUUCAUUUGAUAUUACUCAGACUUUUGUCCUCAGUUUGACCUCAAAGUGAAAAUGAAACAAGAACAUCACCCUUAAUGCACCUGAGCCAAACCCUGUCUUCAUAUCUGUGUAGUUUUAUGAAGGUUAAAAUAUGACAUCAUUAUAAAGACAUCUGACAUGCAGCGGUGUAAAUGUCAGGGCUGUUGCAUGACCUGCCUUCACAAAGUCACCCUGCGUGUUUAAGUAAUUCAAUAAAAAAGAAAAAAACACUUUGAAAUGUUCAAAAGAAAGAAUUAAACAUGAAACAAUCUUUGUGUCAUCAUGGUGUUAGUCACAGCAACCCACUUCCUGUCUCUAACUACACACAACCAAUCAGAACAAAGCAUAAGAUCCUCUCAGUAUCAUCAAACAGCGUCAGAAUCAUUCCUUAAAAAAUCAAAAGAAAAAAAAAGAAGGAAAUCAUCAACGUAAAGUGACAACGCUCGCUUACUCCUACAAACAAACCUCACAUCUUCAUAAUCCAUUGUUUUCUUUUUUUUUCCAGACUUUUUUUAAACUCACAGAUACAGGAAGCGUGUGGUGGCGAGGCAGGCAUGGUGGUGUGUGAUGCAGGAUGUGGCGUUGGCAAUUUAGUCAGUGAAUUUAGUCUAAAAAGUCAAACCAAACACAGGUUUGUAAUCUGGUUUUAAAGGUGCUGUGAGUUUGAUUUAAGCUUCAAUAUACGAUCUUCAUAUGAAAAUAACAGAAUACCAAUGACUGUAAAUACUGAGACUCAGGACAACAGUGGAGAGGGUGAGACAUCAGCGGACAUGAUGAUGGUUGAUCACCAGAUUUUAAAUGCAUGUGUCUUUAAAGAAUUUAUCAAAGAAAUUAAGCUCUGUGACAAAUACUGAGUGGACUGCUGUUUUUUUUACUUUAGGGAUAAAAAAAAUGAAGGAGUGAACAACAACAUGUGGUAAAGAAAAGGGAAAUGAUGUAAAGACUGAAUGUGUCACAGCGGCGUGUCAAAGGCUGUCCAGUUUUGUAAGCAUCCCCAAACACAGCCAACAAACAUGUCCUCCUUUCCCCGUGAAGGCUGUAACUAGUGUAUUCUUAGUGGCUCAACAUAUCCCAUGAGUCUUUGCUCACUAAUACAAACCACAGACUGUAUAUACUAUGGACAACUUGGUUGUGCCUUCCACCAGUAUAGGGAUUUAAAGCCGAAAAACUUUCAGUAAUUCCACGUUGGUUUCUCCAUAACCUGAAACCAACAUUGCGCAGUAGCAUUGUACGCAUUUGGGAGAGUCGCCAAGAGUCACUGUGAUGAUGCUCGGAUCAAACAGCGCAUACCCUGGGUGGGAAGCAGGGGGGAAAAAAAUUUAUGUUCUGUGUAAUAAAUUUCUCAAGUCUUUCCACAGCCCCAGGAGGAUGGCUGGCGGAGGCAGGUUUAUGACCUAUACUGCAGCCCGUCAGCAGAGUGUGCUGUUCUAGGGGUGGCUUCACCCAGUAAGGAGGUGGACGCUGUCCAUUCUAUAUACAGUCUACGAUACAAACUGGCAAGUAAUAUACUGUUGAAUAAGAGUAUUUCAUUUUAACUCGGUGGUGAACUCUACAUAUAUUAUUCAAGACAGAAGCAUUGAAAUUUAAAUUCAUCUUUGAAAUGUUAGUAAUAGUGUUGAGCCAACUCUGCUAGCCAGUUAGCCACCUGUUGCUAGCACUAAUCACUCUCUAUGUGACAUCAUCAUUAGGGUAGUGAUUUAAGCUUGCAGUUCUCUGAGGGUUAGACCAUCUAAAUUUGGUUCAGUCUCACCGGUCGCCUAAGGCUAUGAAGGCUCAGUCCUUCAAAGGCUUCUGCCCCUGGACUGGAAACUUUAACCCACUCAGAUGUUGUCUUUUCUUAAGGCAAAACAAAGAUGAUUACUGCCUGUGUUUGAAAAAAGGAUCUGGAGAAAUCAGCUGAGGUUGGUCAAAUAAAAAAAUGCUCAUUUCUGUCAUAUUUUAAUAGGCUAAACAAAUACUGACAUAGUAGCCCCCUUUUUGACACUUUUGGGGGAGCUGAGGAUGGACAGGAGGUCUCAUCUGUCAUUAAACCAAGUUAGCCCAAUGAACUGAAUUCAAUGAAAUCUAAAAUCUGUUUCACUGCACCUUCAAACCUCUCAGUCAUGAUGAAAGUUUGGUUUUUAAAUUGAUGCCAGUGGUGCUUAAGAUCACCUGCUGUCCUGCAGAGUACAGAGCACAGUGAACUCCUCCAUGUUUGUACAGAUGAUGCUGAUGGAUGUUUCAACCUUAGACUAUGUCAGUGCGUGUAUGUGUGUGUGUCCAGAAAUGUCCUGAUGAUGCUCAUCACUUCAGUCCACUUUGUUUUGUUGAUCUUGGGUGUUGCAGUGUAAAAUCUCAAGUUUUCCCAUCAUGCCUCUGUCCUCUUUUGGUGAGGAAACCUCAGAGAAGUCCAGUCCAUGUUUUUUGGUUUUCCUCUUCUUCCUUUUAUCAUCUUCUUAGAUGGUGAAAAUGUUUUACUUUCUGUUCCUGACAUUCAUGUGUUGAUAUUUUUCAAAAAGUGAGUUUAAAUUUUUAUUCAGGUUUUUAUUAACAAACAUGCCACUUGUCUAAGAAGACUAAAAAAUAGCUGCACAUCAUUUGGUCACUAAGCAACACUGAACGUUUACGACCUGCUUAUUGGACAAACCAGAGCUGUGCAGAGACCGAGUUCAGACGAGUUUCUGCUCUGUGCUUCUGGUUUCAUUGUUAAUGUAGUUCUUCUGAACUGCAGACAUCUCUCACAGGUAUGUGUUUGUUUGUGUGUGUGUGUGUGUUGUUUGUGUGUGUGUUCAGGAAAAACAGGGCAGUGGCUUUUGCUGAAGAAGGAGGAGACGGUUUGAUCUCAGUCAGUCAGAACUCAGCCUGGACCAGGGAUGCAAAAAAGACAUCUGAAAGUUUUACCUGCUCAAGGACAUUAAGUCUGAAAUGAAGCCGAUCCAGUAUUUUAACCAAGACUUCCUAAAAGGGUCACUUUUUUAUUUCAUAAAUUUGACUUAAUACCUCAAAUUAUUUUUUCAUUAAGGUCAAGUCUCCUGCCUUUUUUAAAUAGUUAAACUGGUAUAAAUUGGCUUCCAUAGAUAGCACAUGGGCACCAUCAGGGCAGAAAUUAUGGGAACAAACACAGGAGAGGAUGUGAAGAUGGGGAAAUACAAACCGAAAGAAAUCAAGCUUCAAAAUAGAAAUCACAUGGAUGAUUAGAAAAGGGAAAACUUUGAUUAUAAGGUUCUUUCUUUGGGCUGUCAAGGGAAAUAUGCAAACCUGUUGUAACUGCUGUUUGUUCUGUAAUGCAAACCUUGUCUAAGUUUCUCUUUGAGUCUUAUAAAGUCUUUGAUUGACUUUUAAAGCGUGCAGAGCAGACACCCUGACUGUGAUCAAACCGGCUCCUUGUUUUUCCUCGGAGUGCUGGGUAAGAAAUGCUGUCUUUGUAACAUCACAGCUGGCUACGCCAAUAGGAGCAAUUCCUCAGAAGGACUGCUCUUAGCUUUACUCUUACAGUCAGCAUCUUAUUUGUGUUAGAGUCUGACUCAGAGUCAGCAGGAAUGUUGUUUUAAAGCCUGACAGCAACUGGAUGCUGGAUUAAAAAACAUUGACUUCAGUGUGACUGAGUCUGGUCUGGUGGGAUAAAUCUCUGUCAGCAGAAAUACAAUAAUGUUCAUGUGAAACUGACUCAGUCUGAUCCUACAGACAGCGGCUGCUGUGUUUUUAAUCUCAUAUGGAAGCCUUAAAAGUGUGGCACUGACAUUCAACCUCCUUCAAGAUUAACAGCUGGACUUCAUUUCCCAGAAUUCCACCAAAUAUAUAAGAAUGUUAGCAGGAUUAAUCCCUACUUCAUAAGUAUAUAUAUAUAUA